rnacentral:rRNA from 1 species
CAGUCGCCGCGGGAAUACGGAGGGUGCAAGCGUUAAUCGGAAUUACUGGGCGUAAAGCGCACGCAGGCGGUUUGUUAAGUCAGAUGUGAAAUCCCCGAGCUUAACUUGGGAACUGCAUUUGAAACUGGCAAGCUAGAGUCUUGUAGAGGGGGGUAGAAUUCCAGGUGUAGCGGUGAAAUGCGUAGAGAUCUGGAGGAAUACCGGUGGCGAAGGCGGCCCCCUGGACAAAGACUGACGCUCAGGUGCGAAAGCGUGGGGAGCAAACAGGAUUAGAUACCCGGGUAGUCCCUGUCUCUUAUAC